CCUACGGGUGGCAGCAGUGAGGAAUAUUGGUCAAUGGACGGAAGGCUGAACCAGCCAUGCCGCGUGAAGGUCAGUGCCCUAUGGGCGUUAAACUUCUUUUGUGCGGGAGCAAUAAUGGUCACGUGUGGCCAGACGAAAGUACCGUACGAAUAAGCAACGGCUAACUCCGUGCCAGCAGCCGCGGUAAUACGGGGGAUGCAAGCGUUAUCCGGAUUUAUUGGGUUUAAAGGGUGCGUAGGCUGUGAGGUAAGUCAGCGGUGAAAUGCCCCCGGUCAACGGGGUGAAGUGCCAUUGGUACUGGCUUGCUGGGAGGCGGAUGCCGUGGGAGGAAAGUGAGGUGUAGCGGUGAAAAUGCAUAGAGAUCACACAGAACACCGAUUGCGAAGGCAGCUCACGAAUCCGCGAUUGACGCUGAUGCACGAAAGCGUGGGUAUCAAACAGGAUUAGAUACCCCUGUAGUC
rnacentral:rRNA from 1 species